CAAUAGCGUAUAUUUAAGUUGCUGCAGUUAAAAAGCUCGUAGUUGGAUUUCGGGUGGGAAUGGCCGGUCCGCCGUUUCGGUGUGCACUUGCUACGCCCACCUUGCUGCCGGGGACGUGCUCUUGAGUUCACGCUCGGGACACGGAGUCGGCGAGGUUACUUUGAGUAAAUUAGAGUGUUCAAAGCAGGCCUACGCUCUGAAUACAUUAGCAUGGAAUAACACGAUAGGACUCUGGCCUAUCUUGUUGGUCUGUAGGACGGGAGUAAUGAUUAAGAGGGACAGUCGGGGGCAUUCGUAUUUCAUUGUCAGAGGUGAAAUUCUUGGAUUUAUGAAAGACGAACUACUGCGAAAGCAUUUGCCAAGGAUGUUUUCAUUAA
rnacentral:rRNA from 1 species